GAAGAUGGUAAAAAAAUAACAAGGUAUGGUUAUUAAGAUAGACUUUGGACAUCACUUUCUAACAUGUCUUGUUCAUAAUGAUUAAACCAUGACCUUUAUGCGAAUUAUUGAUUUUAGGUCAAUUCUUUUAAUUUUAUCAAUUUGUACUUGAAACUUUCACAUUGGUUUCAAUUUUAGCAAUCAAUUUAAUUGAAUAGCCAAUUGAUAAAAAAAAUCCAAACCUUUGCCCACAUUAUUAAUUUUAUUCAAUCCUUCUAAUUUAAUUCAAAACCUCUUACAUUUAUAUCAAUUUUAGCAAUCAAACUCUAAUUAAAAAAGCAUUGUAUUAUGGAAUCAAUAAAAUAUUAUUGUUUUUAAUUAGCUUACAUUUUUAUCUCUUCCCUCACCUCCUUUCCCG
rnacentral:misc_RNA from 1 species